GUACACAAAAAUGCACAUAUUGUGAGCUCGAUGAGUAGGGCGGGACACGUGGUAUCCUGUCUGAAUAUGGGGGGACCAUCCUCCAAGGCUAAAUACUCCUGACUGACCGAUAGUGAACCAGUACCGUGAGGGAAAGGCGAAAAGAACCCCGGCGAGGGGAGUGAAAAAGAACCUGAAACCGUGUACGUACAAGCAGUGGGAGCCUCUUUAUGGGGUGACUGCGUACCUUUUGUAUAAUGGGUCAGCGACUUAUAUUCUGUAGCAAGGUUAACCGAAUAGGGGAGCCGAAGGGAAACCGAGUCUUAACUGGGCGUUAAGUUGCAGGGUAUAGACCCGAAACCCGGUGAUCUAGCCAUGGGCAGGUUGAAGGUUGGGUAACACUAACUGGAGGACCGAACCGACUAAUGUUGAAAAAUUAGCGGAUGACUUGUGGCUGGGGGUGAAAGGCCAAUCAAACCGGGAGAUAGCUGGUUCUCCCCGAAAGCUAUUUAGGUAGCGCCUCGUGAAUUCAUCUCCGGGGGUAGAGCACUGUUUCGGCAAGGGGGUCAUCCCGACUUACCAACCCGAUGCAAACUGCGAAUACCGGAGAAUGUUAUCACGGGAGACACACGGCGGGUGCUAACGUCCGUCGUGAAGAGGGAAACAACCCAGACCGCCAGCUAAGGUCCCAAAGUCAUGGUUAAGUGGGAAACGAUGUGGGAAGGCCCAGACAGCCAGGAUGUUGGCUUAGAAGCAGCCAUCAUUUAAAGAAAGCGUAAUAGCUCACUGGUCGAGUCGGCCUGCGCGGAAGAUGUAACGGGGCUAAACCAUGCACCGAAGCUGCGGCAGCGACACUAUGUGUUGUUGGGUAGGGGAGCGUUCUGUAAGCCUGUGAAGGUGGCCUGUGAGGGUUGCUGGAGGUAUCAGAAGUGCGAAUGCUGACAUAAGUAACGAUAAAGCGGGUGAAAAGCCCGCUCGCCGGAAGACCAAGGGUUCCUGUCCAACGUUAAUCGGGGCAGGGUGAGUCGACCCCUAAGGCGAGGCCGAAAGGCGUAGUCGAUGGGAAACAGGUUAAUAUUCCUGUACUUGGUGUUACUGCGAAGGGGGGACGGAGAAGGCUAUGUUGGCCGGGCGACGGUUGUCCCGGUUUAAGCGUGUAGGCUGGUUUUCCAGGCAAAUCCGGAAAACCAAGGCUGAGGCGUGAUGACGAGGCACUACGGUGCUGAAGCGACAAAUGCCCUGCUUCCAGGAAAAGCCUCUAAGCAUCAGGUAACAUCAAAUCGUACCCCAAACCGACACAGGUGGUCAGGUAGAGAAUACCAAGGCGCUUGAGAGAACUCGGGUGAAGGAACUAGGCAAAAUGGUGCCGUAACUUCGGGAGAAGGCACGCUGAUAUGUAGGUGAAGCGACUUGCUCGUGGAGCUGAAAUCAGUCGAAGAUACCAGCUGGCUGCAACUGUUUAUUAAAAACACAGCACUGUGCAAACACGAAAGUGGACGUAUACGGUGUGACGCCUGCCCGGUGCCGGAAGGUUAAUUGAUGGGGUUAGCGGUAACGCGAAGCUCUUGAUCGAAGCCCCGGUAAACGGCGGCCGUAACUAUAACGGUCCUAAGGUAGCGAAAUUCCUUGUCGGGUAAGUUCCGACCUGCACGAAUGGCGUAAUGAUGGCCAGGCUGUCUCCACCCGAGACUCAGUGAAAUUGAACUCGCUGUGAAGAUGCAGUGUACCCGCGGCAAGACGGAAAGACCCCGUGAACCUUUACUAUAGCUUGACACUGAACAUUGAGCCUUGAUGUGUAGGAUAGGUGGGAGGCUUUGAAGUGUGGACGCCAGUCUGCAUGGAGCCGACCUUGAAAUACCACCCUUUAAUGUUUGAUGUUCUAACGUUGGCCCGUAAUCCGGGUUGCGGACAGUGUCUGGUGGGUAGUUUGACUGGGGCGGUCUCCUCCUAAAGAGUAACGGAGGAGCACGAAGGUUGGCUAAUCCUGGUCGGACAUCAGGAGGUUAGUGCAAUGGCAUAAGCCAGCUUGACUGCGAGCGUGACGGCGCGAGCAGGUGCGAAAGCAGGUCAUAGUGAUCCGGUGGUUCUGAAUGGAAGGGCCAUCGCUCAACGGAUAAAAGGUACUCCGGGGAUAACAGGCUGAUACCGCCCAAGAGUUCAUAUCGACGGCGGUGUUUGGCACCUCGAUGUCGGCUCAUCACAUCCUGGGGCUGAAGUAGGUCCCAAGGGUAUGGCUGUUCGCCAUUUAAAGUGGUACGCGAGCUGGGUUUAGAACGUCGUGAGACAGUUCGGUCCCUAUCUGCCGUGGGCGCUGGAGAACUGAGGGGGGCUGCUCCUAGUACGAGAGGACCGGAGUGGACGCAUCACUGGUGUUCGGGUUGUCAUGCCAAUGGCACUGCCCGGUAGCUAAAUGCGGAAGAGAUAAGUGCUGAAAGCAUCUAAGCACGAAACUUGCCCCGAGAUGAGUUCUCCCUGACUCCUUGAGAGUCCUGAAGGAAC
rnacentral:rRNA from 1 species